rnacentral:lncRNA from 1 species
GCCCACAGUUAGGAUUUAUACAGAGGAGUACUCCAGAUGGGAAACUUGAAGCAUACUGCUUAAGCCAUUUCAUUCUAGCCGGACCAGACGAUUGCCAUUGGGAUGUAGCGUAUGGGAUAAGAUGUAUUUCCCUUAAUCAUAAAGAUGAUGUCAAAACUCAUUUGGAAACGUCUUCAGAAUUCUCAUUAGCAACAUGAGGAAAAUUUUCAUUGACUUGACUGAAGGAACAGAUGAGCACGUCCAUAUAUAUUCUUGAAAGGGAAGACAAAAGCCUGCCCGCCAAUGAUGAAGAGAAAUAAAUGAUACAAUCUUGAGAAAGCUUUCGGAACGUCCCAGAGGGCUGCCUUAGAAAAAGCCAAAUCUCUAUUGAAUUCAAGAAAGAAAGCAAUUCCUGUCCAUGCAAAAGACGG